GAUGAACGCUGGCGGCGUGCCUAAUACAUGCAAGUCGAGCGAACGGACGAGAAGCUUGCUUCUCUGAUGUUAGCGGCGGACGGGUGAGUAACACGUGGAUAACCUACCUAUAAGACUGGGAUAACUUCGGGAAACCGUAGCUAAUACCGGAUAAUAUUUUGAACCGCAUGGUUCAAAAGUGAAAGACGGUCUUGCUGUCACUUAUAGAUGGAUCGCGCUGCAUUAGCUAGUUGGUAAGGUAACGGCUUACCAAGGCAACGAUGCAUAGCCGACCUGAGAGGGUGAUCGGCCACACUGGAACUGAGACACGGUCCAGACUCCUACGGGAGGCAGCAGUAGGGAAUCUUCCGCAAUGGGCGAAAGCCUGACGGAGCAACGCCGCGUGAGUGAUGAAGGUCUUCGGAUCGUAAAACUCUGUUAUUAGGGAAGAACAUAUGUGUAAGUAACUGUGCACAUCUUGUCGGUACCUAAUCAGAAAGCCACGGCUAACUACGUG
rnacentral:rRNA from 1 species